rnacentral:lncRNA from 1 species
GAAGAAUCCAAUUCAUCCUCCUCCUUCGAUUGCUAAAAAAAAACCGAGAAAAAAAAACUGAGAGAAAGCCACAAGAGUAAACUAGGGACUUUCUUCAUUCUUCAACCAUGUACAUCAGCCAAGAAUAAGGAAAACUUCAACUCUUCUAGCUAAGAAAAAUCGAGAGAGUGAAGGCACAAAAUUUCCAGCCCACAAUCGUGAGGAACAAGAGGUAAAUAGCUAAGUUUUUCUUUAUUUUCCUUCUACCUUUGGUUUAUAAUGUCUUAGAAUGAAUUAGAACUGAGAAAGGAAUGAAAUCACUGAUAAAAGUUCUUCAAAGCUGGAAAAUUCUGUUCAAAGUUACUACAUGCUACCCGAUGAUGAAAAGCUGCAAUUUUUGGGUCAUUUCUCCUUCAAAUUUUGUUAGAUUAUGUCUUCAUGCAUUAUGUAUAUUCCAUAGUUUACAUAUCUUGACAUGGGUGCGAUCAUACCAGCACUAAUGCACCGGAUCCCAUCAGAACUCCGAAAUUAAGCGUGCUGCCUAAAUUUUCACUCGAAAGUUAGGUAGAUGUACUCACGACUUGAGUAAGGGUUUGAGGACGACUCUAACUCGAAUCAUCUAGGGUAUUCAAGUCUUUGCUCAUAGAGGUAUAUAAGUUAGAAUUCAGUCGAACCUUGUACCCUUGGAAAAAUAAAAGUAACGACUAAUAGAAAUACGUUUUCCUCAUCUUUUCGACUCAAAUGGGAAUUUCAAAAUUUAAUCGCUUCGAAGUUUCAAAGUUUUAAGAGCGAGCAUGAGUUUUAUGAAUAUUCCCCAAAUGAGUUUCAAUUACUUGAUUUUCUUUGAAAGAAACAUGAACCCUAGUUGAUUUCAAGUUCUUAAAUGACGUUUUAUCUAUAUGAGCAACUGUAUCCUUACAUAAGAAAUGUGAAAUAUUUGUUCUUUGGCUAUAUGAAGUGUUAUUACUCAAUUCUUGACUUGAUUUGCUCGCUAUUUUACUAUUAUGCUACUUUUACUUUAUUUGAUGGACAAUUUGAUAUUUGGAACCUUACCGAGCUUUAGCUCACUCCUUUAGUUUUGUUUUCCUUACAGGGGUACGAGCGAGGCGUGAGACGUGUACAAACUAGCUUAGACUAGUUGUUUUGACUUUUGAUUUAUACUCGCGCUAUCACUCGCUUAGGAUGCUUUGUACUUGGAUUGUAUACACUUA